UUUUUUACCUGGCAGUGGAGAUACCAUAAUCACAAAGGUGGUUUUCUAGGGCAAGGCUCAUCCAUUGCACUCUGGAUAUGCUGACCCAUAUGAUUUCCCCAAAUGUAGGAAAUUCAGCUGCAUAAUUUGCGAGGGACUAUGUUUGCACUCUCUUCAG